GCAAUUUGAGGCUCCAAACAAAUGUAUGGAUGUCAAAUUUGGAUUCCGGAAGUCCGAGAAAUUAUGUCAUUGUCAAGGAGGAUCCGAGUUUUCUAUUGUAAAUUUUUACGUUUUUACCACGAUAAAUGUGGUAAUUGUAAAAUUAUAAGUUUUUAUCAUGUUAGGUAUGGUAAUUGUUAGUGGAAUGUGUUGGAUAUGCUUGAGUGGAUAAGUUAGGUUUAUGUUUUAUUAGUGGG
rnacentral:lncRNA from 1 species